rnacentral:misc_RNA from 1 species
AAAAUGAAAGCCGGGAAACCGGUCCUUCUAACCCUUGAUUAUCUUAAUUUGUUGCUUUGGUGGGCCGCGCAAGCACCGGCUUCGGCUGGAUCGUGCCCGCCAGAGGACCACAACUCUGUAUUAAAUGUCGUCUGAGUACUAUAUAAUAGUUA